rnacentral:rRNA from 1 species
GUGGAUUAGAUACCCUGGUAGUCCACGCCGUAAACGAUGAUAACUAGCUGUCCGGGUUCAUAGAACUUGGGUGGCGCAGCUAACGCAUUAAGUUAUCCGCCUGGGGAGUACGGUCGCAAGAUUAAAACUCAAAGGAAUUGACGGGGGCCUGCACAAGCGGUGGAGCAUGUGGUUUAAUUCGAAGCAACGCGCAGAACCUUACCAGCCUUUGACAUCCUAGGACGACUUCUGGAGACAGAUUUCUUCCCUUCGGGGACCUAGUGACAGGUGCUGCACGGCUGUCGUCAACU